rnacentral:rRNA from 1 species
AGAGUUUGAUCAUGGCUCACCAACGAACGCUGGCGGCGUGCUUAACACAUGCAAGUCGAACGCGAAAGUUUCUUUCGGGAAACGAGUAGAGUGGCGCACGGGUGAGUAACGCGUAAAGUAAUCUACCCUGGUAUCUGGGAUAACUCAGCGAAAGCUGUGCUAAUACCGGAUACGCUGAUUUAUCAGGAAAGGUGGCCUCUUCAUGAAAGCUAUCUGUACCAGGAGGAGCUUGCGUACCAUUAGCUAGUUGGUAGUGGUAACGGCCUACCAAGGCGACGAUGUUAGCGGGUCUGAGAGGAUGAUCCGCCACACUGGAACUGAAACACGGACCAGACUCCUACGGGAGCGCAGCAGUGAGGAAUAUUGCGCAAUGGGGGAAACCCUGACGCAGCGACGCCGCGUGGAUGAUGAAGGCUUUCGGGUCGUAAAAUCCUGUCAGAUGGGAAGAAGUGCUAUUGUAUUAAUACUACUUUAGUUUGACGGUACCAUCAACGGAAGCACCGGUAACUCCGUGCCCAGCACGCCGCGGUAAUACGGAGGGUGCAAGCGUUGUACGGAAUUACUGGGCGU